rnacentral:lncRNA from 1 species
CUAAUACAUUAGCAACACAUAUUAUAAAGAAAAAAAAUAAUUUUAUAUAAUUUUCUGUAAACAUAUGGAAUAGCAUAUAUAUUCCUAUAUAUAUAGUUUGGUUCGGGUAUAAGCAAGAACUAGCUAUUACAGAGAUAGGUACAAAUAUGGGGAUAAGAAAAAUAACGUUUAGAUGGAAAUUGGAUUGUUUUCGGGGAUAAGAAAAAUAUUAGGCAGUUUUAUAUAAAAAAUGGAGGUGUUGGUGGGGAUAACCGAGAACAACUAUUCUCGGAUAAAAAAUUAGCGUUUGGGUAUAAAGCGGGGAUAAAGGCCUAUUCCUAUCCCUAUCCUCUAACCAAACGCUUUAAGUUUAAGCUUUCAAAUUUAUUCCUCAAAAAUUCUUAAUGGUUUCAAAUAUACCUCUAUUGCUAAUGUCCGUUUAGAAAAAUGUAAUUAGGUAUCGGUAAAAUAUUUAAUUUUGAUUAGUGAAUGAGGUAAAUUAAUCUUUUUACUCCUUUGAUAUUAUUAUACCUUCUUCACUGAAUCAAAAUUCUAGCAAUGAGAACUCUUCUUCUUCCUCCUUUUUUUUUUUUUUCCUCUCUCUCCUCUAUGCUAGUUUUGAACAUGUAACCAGAAUUUCAACAUCCUGAUUUAUCCACAACGUGUGUAGCUUUGCCCAUGUCGAGCACCGGGGAAUCAGUAUUAGAUAGGUAGGGAAAAAAAGAGAGUGAAGAAUAGGUAAAGAAGAUAUUACAAUAAUGUUACUGGAUAAGUUAGUUUUUAUAGAAGAAGAAGAUGGCUAUUGGAGUUUUUUUUUUUUUUUGAGGAUAUUUCUGCGUAAUUCUAAUCGUUGAAAUUUUUAAAGAGAUAUAUUUGUGAUGACAAAAUUAACAUUUCACCGCUCUUCUGUUAAAAAACUAGUGAGCUAACGGCAACAAACUGAAAGGACAAAUAUGAACUUUUAAAGAGAUAAAUAAAUUUGAAAACUUAAAUUCUGCAGAGAUAUAUCUGCUAUUUGAUAUAUGUACAGAAAACUGUAUAAAAUUAUUCUUAUAAAAAAUAAUACAUACUUUUUUGAGCAAACAAAAGGUAGACCAAACCAAAUAGCUACUUGAUACCAUUCAGCGACAAUCAGAACAUCUCUUCUUACAAAAUGCCAAUAUUAGAGUUGUCAUUGAGUAUAUAUAUGUAUAUAUAUAUAUAUAUAUAUGAGUCCGGCUAAUAUGCUCUUAUGAGUACGAUCACCUUCGUACUCAUAAGUUGUUUUCGAUAAAAGAGCUUCCGAAUCGACGAUCCAUACCGUUAAACAUUAUCUAGAGCAUUUAAAACUUCUAAAAAUUAAAUUUUAAAAUAAUUUUUCAAUAUCAUUUAUCUUACGAUCAAAAGCCCACAAAAUUGAUAAUUGUUAACGGCCGGUAUGAAAUAUUUGCUAGUUUAACGGUAAAAAAGAAUCAGAAUAUGUUGAAUUUUUGAUAGAAAAUUCUAUUCACUAUAUAAAUAAAGAUCAAGAACUCCGAUCUUAAAUUGAAGGAUCCAAUCAUCUAUUUUUAUGAUGUCGUUUGAUUUUAACCGUUCAUUUUAUACCUGCUUAAUGGACUUUAUAAUGAUUUCGAAAAAUUACGAAAUUUAUUUUCUAGAAGUUCCAAAUACUCUAGAUCAUGUUUAACAGUGUCGAUCGUUGAUUCGAAAAGGUCAUAUCAAAAACAGCUUAUGAGUACAAAGCGCUCUAUACUCAUAAAAGUAUAGUCCUACUAUAUAUA